GUAUUAAUUACGGCCAUAUUGGCACGAUCACGUUCAUCGUUAUAAUCAGUGUAUGUAAAGAGGGAAUUCUAAGAAAGAUUACCAGACAGCAAUCUCUCUAAUCGAAAACCCUCAGAAGAUGCACAGGCGUGUGCGAAUAAAGAUUGUUGAGGGGCGAGCACAUGCAGCCAAAAGGUAGGCUUGCCAGCAUCAAACCCCUCAUUACAAUUCGUUAAUGAUCCUUCCGCAGGUUCACCUACGGAAA
rnacentral:misc_RNA from 1 species